rnacentral:lncRNA from 1 species
GCUGGCAAAUUCUCUGAAGAAGGGCAUCAGAGAAAAUAAUUCUUGAAGAUCCUAUCUGCAUUCUGUUGACCAGCAGAAUGUGCUUUGAUGCACUCUCUGCACCAUCUUUGACUGCUAUCCAUUGAUCAUAAAGGCAAGUGUGGUCUAGUGGUUAGAGUGUUGGUCUAGGACCUGGAAGAUCAGGAUUCAAAUCCCAACUCAGCUGCGAAACUCCCUGGGUGAAUUUGCACCUGUCGCUUUUCCUCAGCCUAAUCUACCUUGCAGGGUCGCUGAGAGGUUUAAAUGGAGAUGGGGAGAAUCUUCAAUGUAUUAUAUGAAAGAUGAGCUAUAAAUGUAAUAAUAAAUAAAAUAGUGGCAAUAUUUAUAAUAUGGAAUUAUUCAUUAAUGAUGGGAGUAAGUCAGAAUUUGUGUGUCAUGAACUGGCAGGACAACAGGGAGGAGGAAGAGGAUCUUGGUGAGGGGUGUAGCCAGGCCUGGACACACUGAGGCAAGCAGAGGAUGAUGAGGGAAGAGAGGUUGGUGUAGGAAGUACUCACGGAGUGACGGCAGAUGGCAAAGAGAUGGAGGUCAGUGCACAGGAACCUGAGCAGCAGGACCCACCACCAGAGCCAGAGGGGGCCCCGUCUGCCUGAACAGGAGGCUGAGGCAGGCAAGGGCCCAGAGCCCAGCUCCUUAGUUGGCCAGGUGGGGCUCGCUAGCUCUGGGAGAAGGUUGUGAUUCCUCAGCUGGAGCAGGUGAGGGUCACAUGCCUCAUCAAGCCCAGAUGCUGCAAUCAGCAUGCAAAGCACAGGUGCUCUGUCUGCUCAGCUGCCCAUGUUGAAGGACCUCAGCUUGGAUGCUGCAGGAUCUCUGCAGAACUGUGCUUCGGUUUGGACUUUGGACACAUGGAUUGACCCUGGACUGGGACCUUGACAUACUGAAUUGCUGCCAGGUAGGCCAGGGGUUCAGGAUAUUGUGUAGUGAUUUGUGUAAAAGAUGGGAGCUUUUUAUGUAAAUAGUUUCAUUUAUCCCUGGAGUUUUACUUUGCAGUUACAGCUUUCAAGCAUUCAGUCAGGUUUCUUGUACUUGUCAUGAAACGAAGAAAGGCAAACUAAAAAAUGGCCAAGGUUGUUGUGGCUGCAAGAUAGUAUCAGGUAAACAGCUACACUCCCUAUAGCUCAGGUCAAGUUGGCCUGAGGUGCAAUUCAAUUAGGAUAGUUGACUUGUUGCAGAUAUUAGGGAUGAGUAGAUUUUCCUCAUUCUGUUUCUUGUUCAUUUUGUGAGUUCUCUCUGCUAUGUAUUUUGAAUCUCCCAAAUUCUGGUUAAAAUAUAAUGAUGGAAUAAGAGCAACCUUCACCACAACAUUCAGAUCCUUCAUUUCCUUUCUAUCUCCUCUUCAUGUUAAUGAUUUCCAUUGAUAAAGCACUGCAAAACUACAGCUUUGAUAUGAUUGUAUGCACAAGGUUCUUUUUGUGCUGUGUUUUACUGAUGGAAGUAUGCAUUAGUAAAACACGAUACAAAAAGAACCUUGAUUUACCAGACAUGCAGUCAAAUAAUAAUUCCCCAGUGUUUUGUCAGUGUAUACCUGCAAGCCAGUAAUUUGCAGAAAGGAGGAAGAUAUGGAUGUAGAAAUAGAAGGCUAUAGAAACAUGUGAAUACCUAGUGUUAUCUGCAGAAACAAAAAGACAAGACAGUUGAGGACACCUGUUGCAUUUUGGAAACAAAACCAGGUGAUUCAGAACUCCAAAAACCAAGUAAAAGUUUAGAAGAGCAGAAUUUUGGGAGUAUCUCUUUAUUCAUUGCAGCUGGGCUUGGUGAAUGAUACUCACAAAUGUGCUGCCCAGGUUGGUAGAGAUUCGGUUUCUUAGAUUUGCUGUACAUUUCUUUGAAUAAUAGUUAAAAUUACUCAGGAAUAAUCAGUAAGUUGUAGAGAGGAGAGAGAACUUCCAGGUACUGCAUCACAUGAAAAGGCCGUGUCCCUAAUGAAUUCUGUAUAUUCUGAGCACCGUUCUACAUGCCUAUGGUUAUUUCUGUCAAAUUACUUCAUUGUUUGUACAUCAUCUGUUGGUUUGUGUUUGUUUUUAGGAAUUGGUUAAUCAUAUAGUGGCCUGUUAUUUUGCAGAAGUUCAGUGCUCCUUCCUGUCUAAUGGGAAGGGAUUUGACAAAUUCUGCUGUGGCAUAUUAGGUAGUAUGCUAAUUGAUGCAUAUAAAAUCUGUAAUUGCAGUGCACUUUUGGAAACUGAUGAGUUUAAAAAUAGAUACAGCUUCUUUCACAGUACACCUUUACAAUAGCAACAUCUGAGGACUACAAUAACACAACCUCACAUCCUUUAUGCUUUUAAUCAAAUUCUGCCUUUUGAUAAAUGACCAUAGUAUGUGAGAGGCACUUGGUUCUCCCAUCUCAUGAAAUGUUCCAAUAUGUACAGCUGAUGCUUCAAUGAAGCAGGAUGGCGCACAUAAUUGCUCAGACACAAUUUUGUAUAUUCUCUCGUCGAGCUUGUUCUAAGCAGGCUUUACUCUUCUGCGCCAGCAAUGUGAACAUGAAUGCAGAUGGAUAUUUUUCUUUUUAUUUAUUUCUAUGCCACCCUUCAUCUGAGGUAUGCAGGGUGGUUUACAAUAUAAAAACACAAAAAUACAUACCACAGGAACAAACCAAAACAAUACCCCCCCAUGCACACACAGUUUAAAAUGCCAUCAAUUGGUUAAUUAGCAAAAGGCCUGCGUAUUUUUGCCUGGUGUCUGAGACUGAAGUUACUGAUCUUCUGUGGGUACUUGUUGUCAGGGUUCACCAAACUCAGAGGCCACCGUUGUGUCAUUUU